UCCUGUUGAGGUAAAAAUUGAUCUUUUGUACAGUUUUGGGUCGUGGGAACCCUCUUUUCCUCUCCUUAUUGCCCUGGAAUGGAGAAACCAGAAUUUUCCUACUCUUUUCUUAGGUAGUUUUUCAGAUAAACAGUCUGUCUUUCUCCCCUUUGCAAUCCCAUUGGUGAGUUUCAUUUGGCUAAGCAGGAGUUCAGGGUAUAGCAUGGGGCUCAGAGGGAGGAAAAGUGGGAGAAAUCCUUCCAGGAAAAAGAAAGCAAGCAAUAGGAUUUCAUCCAAGGAGUUCCCUGAAUCCAGAAAGAGUAUGGUGAUUUCAGUUCACCAACAGCUCAACUGAAGGACAUCAAUAUUAAUUUUUUUUUCCCAGAAAAAACUUUAUGCCAAUACUAGUGAAUGUGAAGGUAGGAUAUAAUGGAUAUUUUGAUCAGCUAGUUACUUGUGAUUCAAUCCCAGGUCUUUCAAAAGUAACUAAUGUGGAGUGCACAAGAAACCUUAUUUGUUUCCUGCCAUGUCACACUCUGGGCAAGAUUUUCCUGCUUCAGUUCCUUGGCCAUGGGAAGCCUGCAGUUGUCAACAGAUGGGGGUCUUAACUUCCCAUUUCAGUCACUUCAUUACCCUCCACCUGCCUUUCCAAUCCAUGCAAGCCAAGAAAGCCUUCCUGAAUGUGACUAACAUUUAAAACAUAGCUGGAUGUUUCACAAGAUGUUUAGCUGUGAGCAGGAUUUCGAUUCAAUUAACAACAGCCCCCCUCCCACUGAGUUGUUUCCACUACCUAAUUCAAAUUUUAACCCUGUAAUUCUGAUGCUGUGAAUUUUCUGACUCAUUUUAAUCCAAACUGGGAUUACUGAAAAGGUCACGCACCCUCCCCUCAACUCUGCUCAUCCUCACAGUAUCUCAUUUCUUUUCAACAGCAGCAAAGCCUGAAUUUUCAUGUUAUUUGUUAUAUUUAGGGCAGAUGACCUACCCAGCCAGAAUCAGGGAUUAGGAAUUCAUUUUCUAAGGCAUUAUGCAAAAACAUAACUAAAAUCUGACCCUGCCUCAAACUCUUUAUGUCCACUUGUGUGUAAUUGCAAUAUCAAGACUAGAAUGUGGAGAGAAGAAAAUACAGUUGAUGCUAGCACACAUUUGGGGGUUGUCAUGAUUUUUUAAUGAUUCCUCUUUUCUGUGUGAGAGCUUCUGUGCACAGAAACCUUGAAAUAGUGGAUGGCUCCUUUGCAGAUUCUGAUAUUUUGUACCAAACAAGAUUACUCAGGAGUAACAAGAAUGACCCCCAGCUGUUGUCUGCUGCUAGAAACCUUUUAAAUGGAUAAGGACAUAGAGCCACUCCGUAAUUACAUGGAGGGAAGACCACAUGGCUUAAAGUGACCUGUUAGUAAUCAAUUACUGCUGUGAAAAUGUUCAUCCUGGCUCUAGAGUAGGUGUGGGAAAAUCAAAAGCAUGUGUAAAUCAAAAACCUCCAGCAUUGUUUCCUAUAUGGAAAAAACAAAAGUUCACUCAGAAAUGAAUAGUGUAGCCAGCACAUUCUGAAGUCCCUCUGUUUUAAAAUACCUACUUUAAUUGUAUCAAUCAUUUAAUAUAAUUAAGAAUAUGAGAGUAAUCAAUUUUCCUUUCA